rnacentral:lncRNA from 1 species
GGGAAUGUUAGAUAUAUAGUAUAAAAUACAGAUCACCAGCUAUAAGCAUGGGCAUCAGUUAUGAUUUUGUAUUUUAUGUGAUCUGUGUACUAUGCAAUAGUUUUGCACAUCUAUGUAAUUGUUUGUCCAUUUCGUUCAUUAUCGAUUAUCGUUUUCCAUCUCCAUCUUGAAAUCAACAACCUCCAUCGUGUUACAUCCUUAUUGGAUUUGGUUAAUUUUUGUUCUUAA